rnacentral:rRNA from 1 species
AUUGAACGCGGCGGCAUGCCUUACACAUGCAAGUCGAACGGCAGCACGGGAGCAAUCCUGGUGGCGAGUGGCGAACGGGUGAGUAAAGCAUCGGAACGUGCCCAGUCGUGGGGGAUAACGUAGCGAAAGCUACGCUAAUACCGCAUACGAUCUGUGGAUGAAAGCGGGGGACCGUAAGGCCUCGCGCGAUUGGAGCGGCCGAUGUCGGAUUAGGUAGUUGGUGAGGUAAAGGCUCACCAAGCCGACGAUCUGUAGCUGGUCUGAGAGGACGACCAGCCACACUGGGACUGAGACACGGCCCAGACUCCUACGGGAGGCAGCAGUGGGGAAUUUUGGACAAUGGGCGCAAGCCUGAUCCAGCAAUGCCGCGUGCAGGAUGAAGGCCUUCGGGUUGUAAACUGCUUUUGUACGGAGCGAAACGGCUUCCACUAAUACUGGGGGCUAAUGACGGUACCGUAAGAAUAAGCACCGGCUAACUACGUGCCAGCCGCCGCAGUAAGAC